rnacentral:rRNA from 1 species
GACGAACGCUGGCGGCGUGCUUAACACAUGCAAGUCGAACGGAAAGGCCCCUUCGGGGGUCCUCGAGUGGCGAACGGGUGAGUAACACGUGAGUAACCUGCCCUUGACUUCGGGAUAACUUCAGGAAACUGGGGCUAAUACCGGAUAGGAAUCCUUGCUGCAUGGUGGGGGUUGGAAAGCUUCGGCGGUUUUGGAUGGACUCGCGGCUUAUCAGCUUGUUGGUGGGGUAGUGGCUUACCAAGGCUUUGACGGGUAGCCGGCCUGAGAGGGCGACCGGCCACAUUGGGACUGAGAUACGGCCCAGACUCCUACGGGAGGCAGCAGUGGGGAAUAUUGCACAAUGGGCGGAAGCCUGAUGCAGCAACGCCGCGUGCGGGAGGACGGCCUUCGGGUUGUAAACCGCUUUCAGCAGGGGCGAAGCUUGUGGUGACGGUACCUGCAGAAGAAGCACCGGCUAACUACGUG